GUCCUCCAUGGGACCCGAAAGAUGGUGAACUAUACCUGGCUACGGCGAAGCCGUGGGAAACUGCGGUGGAGGCCGGUCGCAAUCCUGACGUGCAAAUCGUGUUGUCUGAGCGGGGCAUAGGGGUGAAAGGCCAAUCGAACCAUCUAGUAGCUGGUUUCCGCCCAAGUUUCCCUCAGGAUAGCUGGGGCUGGGAGUGUGUCCGAACUCGUCGAUCGUGAUGCGGCUUUUGUCCGGUAAAGCAAUGCAUGAGAGGCAUUCUGGGGAGUCUAUCAGUCCUCAACCUAUUCUCAAACUGUGAAUGGGCAAGCAUCGGAGGCACACUUCUCUGCAUCCGGCGUCUGUGUGUGGCGCGUCAAAGGCCAUCCCUGGCCGACGGCGUGCCCAACGCAGUCCGCUGUGCCUGAGUGUGUUUGAGAGAUGGUGGCAGCCUUCUGGCCUCAGCGGGGUGGGGCAUUCUGCCCGGGCAUCCGCUGAGGCCGCUGGGGCCCAACCCGGAACAGUGUGCAGCCCCAUGUGGGCCAUUACUGGUAAGCAGUGCUGGCGAUGCGGGAUGAUCCGAGAGCGCGGUUGCAGGGUUCAAGUGCUGGCUCAUACAUAGAAUCCACAAAGGAUGUUGUCCGCUAGAGAUAGCAGGGCGGUGGCCAUGAAGGUUGGAAUCCGCUUAGGAGUGUGUAACAACCCACCUGCCGAAGCGGGCAG
rnacentral:rRNA from 1 species